UCAUAAGGAGAGGCCCUGGAGAAUUGCUCCAUCUGUUGCGAGAAGAAAGUACUAGGAGAAGCACCUGGGCACCAGAAACCCAGCCCCAGCCCAGAACAGACUGCAGGUGAAUCCAGCAUUGACAGUGAUAGAGGAAACUUAGAGAAAUCCACACCUAGGACUUGGAAUUCCUUUCCUUAGGAGGGCAGUUGGAGCAGGAAGAGAAU
rnacentral:lncRNA from 10 species